GGCGACGGUCACCAUGAGCAGCUUGCUGCAAUUACGCAAUCUUUGGCAUUGAUCCAAGUCUAACUCGCCUAGAAGUUGAAAGAAUGAUGAAGGUUAAAUUUGGUUUAAAAUUUCACAAAUUUAAAAACUUGAAUUCGUUGUAAGCAUAGUCCUAAAUCGGCAAAUAACCCUAUUAAAGUUUAAAAAUUGUCACAAUUUAGAUCAAAUAACCGAAAUUUUUAAAUCUCGGAUUAUUCUCCCACAAAAUUGCAGUCGUGUGUGCAUAUCAUUAACUAUGAGAGAAUUGGGGGGUAAGAGCAAUAAACAAGAAUUUAAAUAGCAAGAAAGUAAAAUAAUUAACUAAACAUCAAAGGAAAUUAAACUAAAAGCAAUUAGAACAAAAGAAGGAAAAUUCAGAUGCUAAAAGAAAUCUUGGCUAAGGGUUGAGUUAAAGAUCACUAUCCUAUUCAUUGACCACAAAUAUAGUAAUUAUGAAGAGUUAAUCCCAUUUAGUCAAGGCCUAAAUAUUGGGAGAAAAUAAAAUAGGCAUAAUUAAUUUUAAUCCACAAAUCCUAACCAACUCACUAAUUAGGCUUAGUGAAAGGAUAGCGUUAGUGGAAACAAAAUCAACUAACAACCCUAAAUUAUCAAUUAAUAUUGGACAUCAAUGACUUAAGGUCACCUAAAUUCUCAAUCCCAAGCCAAGAAUGUAAAAUCUACUCUAAAACUAAAGAAGACUUUUUAUCAAAUAUUUAGAAGGCAUAUAAACAAAGCAUCAUAAAUUGUAUGAAUAAUAAAAUCUAUAACUACUAAAUUCAAGAAAACUAUAAUAACAAAUCAAUUAAACAUCAAGAAAGCAUAUAAACAUCAAAUUGCAUUAAAGAAAAGUAAGAAUUUAACAAUUAUAUUGUUCAUAAACUAAAAUUAGCGAAAUCGAGAAGCUAACAAGUAAAACUCAACAAAUUAAGAUGCUAGAACAAGAAAAUAUAAAGAAAAUUAAACUAAAACAAUGAUCAAAACCUAAAACUAAGAAUAAAUUAAACUAAGAAACCUAAAAUUCUAGAGCUUCUCUCUCUAGAAUUAUCCUAAAAUAUCAUACUAAACUAUUACUAUACUACUUCUACACUACUCGGUUGGUCCCCUUUGAAUUCUUGCUUCAAAUGCUUUAGAAAUGAGUUGGCUUGGGCCCAAAAUGGGCUUCAAAUCGCGAGCCACGUAUUAACUUAAGUGAGUCACGUGCUGCAAGUCGUGUGUAUGCACAGGCCAUGCGUAUGAAUGAAUUGAAGGAGAUGCAUAUGCCCAAGCCAUGCGUAUGCACAAUCUAGAAAAUGUCCAAUCUUCAUUUCUUCAUGAAUUCUCUACUUUAGCAUGCUUUUCCUUUAUUCUUCCAAGCCAUCCUUGCCUUCUAACCCUUGAAUUACUCAAACAAACAUAUCAAGGUAUCGAAUGGGAUAAAAGUGAAUCAAAUUUGACAAUUUAAAGUAUAAAAAGUAUGUUUUUAAUAAUUAAGCAUAAUUAUGGAGAAAUUCACAAAAGCAUGCAAUUUCAAGAAAUAAAUGCAAGGUAAGUUGAUAAAAUUUACUCUCUUCAAGCCAACAAUAAUCGUAAAAUAUGAAUUUAUCAAAGAACUACCACGUAUGUCAUUGCAGCACUCUGCCUUCACACCAUCUCAAUGCAUGAAGGUGGAUUUUCCGUGCUUUUUGGCAGGGAUGAUGUCUUGCAAUGGAUCUUUCAAACUGAGCAUUUCUUCCGAAUCUAUGAUAUUCCAGAGAUUCAAAAGUUGGAUAUCAUUACUGUGAGCUUAGAAUGGAGGGCUUUGACUUAAUUUAUCUACUACUAUUGAGAUUUAAUUUGGACCUUCUCAGUUUAAAAAUCCUAGGAAGGAAUUGUUUAAGUUGAAAUAAUCAUCAUCUGUUAGAAACUACUUUGAGACUUUCAAUGAUUUGGCUGCAAGAACAUAUGAUUUAGAUGACACUUUGUUGCUUGAUUAUUUUAUUGGUGGGUUGAAUCUUGAACUGAAAAGGGAAGUUAAAUCUAGAUGUCCUGCGUGUGUCUAAUAAAAGCUGUUUCUCUUACCAAAUUAUUUGAGGAAAAAUUUUUGCCACACACCCAGCGCUGGCGUUCUCCUUCUAACUAGCUCCAACAAUCGAUUUCAAGACCAGCCCCUACCACACCAUUUGAACCAAAUGCCUCUAACCCAUCCGCUUCACCACAACAGCAGAAUACACCAUUAUUAUCCACACCGCCCAAAGCCACAGCUUUACGCGAACUAACUCCUACUAAAUCCAAUUUAGAGGAAAGAAGGGUCUUUCCUUUACUUGUGAUGAGCAAUUUUUGUCCAGCCACAAGUGCACAGUCAAGUACUAUUUCAUUAUUUAGACCAUGGAAGAAGUUCCCAAUGAGGUUCAAUUAUAGAAGAAAUGAGGUCAUUCAGCGACUAGAAGACAUUUCGGCAGUGGAUUCUGCCAAAUGCUCCACUUAUCAUAUAAUGUUUUGACUGGAAUUCCUAUCAAAAGGUCCAUUCGAUUUUGGAGAAUAGUUUAAGGAUGGAAAUUUCGAGUUCUCAUGGAUGGAGGUAGCUUCGACAAUUUCAUACACCUUGCUUUAACUAGUGCCUUACUAUUCCAAUUCACCAUGCUCCAUAGUUUAAGUUGCAAGGAAGAAGUGGUGAUCUUUUACAAUGUGAAGGAGAAGUCAGGGACGUUCUGAUGAAUAUUCAGGGACAUACAUUGUUUAUUAGUGCAUUUGUGCUACCUACAGCCACAAAGGAGUUGGUGCUAGGGGACAUUUGGUUGGAGAUGUUAGAUACUCAUAUUGUGAAUUAUAAAAAAUAUUUAUUAUGUUCAUAGACGGUGACUAGUUGGUGACCUUGCAGGGUGAAGUUAGCCAGCUCCCGGUGUAAGCCCAAUUCAACCAUCUCAAACGCUUGCAAACCACUAAUGAAAUUUGGAAACUCUAUACAUUGCAGCUAAGGGAAACUGCAGAGACUCCACUGCCAUAUUUAAUUUACCUAGUGAUAUUGGAUCUGAACUUACUUUGUUGUUACACACUUAUUGGGAGGUCUUUAGCACUCCACAUGGCCUAUCUCCUAUUUGUACACACGAUCAUAGAAUUCAGCUCCAGUCAAAGUUUGGCCAUAUCGGUACUCGUAUAGUCAGAAAAUUGAUAUUGAAAAAAUUGUUAGCGAAAUCUUGGCUGAGGGUAUUGUUUGGCUUAGCACAAGUCCAUUUUCAUUCCUAUUUCUGCUUGUUAAAAAGAAGGGUAGUUCUUAGAGGUUUUGUACGAAUUAUAGGACCUUAAUGGCCGUCACGGUUAAGGCCUCUUUCCCCAUGCCAACCGUGGAUGAACUUCUUGAUGAACUUUUUGGCGCCCAAUACUUCUCCAAGUUGGAUUGAUAAACCACAAUUUUAUGGUUUAUUUUGUAUUGUAUUUGGUGGAUUUUGUCAACUUUUCUCCAUUUAUCCACUAAAAUAGCAUGGUUUUGUAAUUCUCCCUAAUUUGUGCUUAAUGAUUGAAAACAUGCUUUUUAGGCUUUUAAAGUGCUAAAUUUAAUUCACUUUUCUCUCAUUCGAUGCCUUGAUAUAUUUGUUGAGUGAUCUCAGUAUUUAUAAGGUAAGGAUUGGAUGAAAGAAGUGAAGAAAAAGCAUGCAAAGUGGAAAACUCAUGAAGAAAUGAGCAUUUGGAGGAUUCAGAGCGACGCGUACGCGUGAUCCACGCAUACGCGUGAGGAGGAAAUCUGCUAGGCAACGCGCAUGCAUCACCCACGCGCACGCGUGACGUUGGUCAUAUAAUCUCAUUAAAGUGAAAACGCUGGGGACGAUUUAUGAGCCAUCCAGGCCCAAAUCCAACUCAUUUCUGAAGCUAUUAGAGGCCAAAUUCAAGGAGGAUCAAAGGGAGAGCAAUUAGUGUAGUGUAGGAACAUGCUUUAGGUUAUAUUCUAGAGAGAGAAGCUCUCUCUUCUCUCUAGAAUUAGGGUAGAAUUAGGUUAGAUUUUUCUUAGAUUUAUGUUUAAUUCUUUUUUUCAUUUACUUUUCCUUGCAAUUUAUCGUUCUUGCAUCUUUGUUCCUUUAGUUCUACUUGUUAUUUCCUUUUAUUUGUUGCCUUUAUGUUCAUGCACUCUUGUUGAUUUUAAUUUCAUUUAAUGAAAUUUAUGUUUUCAUGUUAUUAUUGCUUUCUUUAGUUGUUAUUGUUGAUUUCUUGCAUUUGGUAGUCAUAGAUUUUAUAUUCUUGCUAUUUUAACAUGCUUUCCUUUUUAUGCCUUCCAAGUGUUUGAUAAAAUGCUUGGUUGGUUUUUAGAGUAGAUUUUGGUACUCUUAGCUUGUGAUUGAGGACUUAGGUCCCUUGAGAUUAUUGAUGUCCAGUUUUAUUGGUGAUUUAGGAUUGUUAAUUGGUUCUAGGACCAAUUAUGUCCACUUGACUUUCCUUCAAUUGUUAGAGGAUAACUAAGUGGAAUUAAUCCUUUGUAAUCACCAUGUUGUGGUCAAUGGUCCAAGAUAGGAGCCCUUAACUCUUGAUCCUUGCCAAGACCCAUUUUAGUGUUAGUUUUACUUUCUUGUCAUUUUUAUUUUCUUGUCAAUCAAACCCAAAACCCCCAAAAGAUACAUCAUAACCAAUAAUAUGCACACUUCCUUGCAAUUCCUUUGAGAGACGACUCAAGGUUUAAAUACUUCGGUUAUUUUUAUUGGGUUUGUACUUGUGACAAACAAAUUAAACUUUGACUGAGGAUUGUUUGUCGGUUUAGAUCUAUACUUCGACGAGAUUAUUUUUGUGAAAUUCUAUACCGAUGAUUAUCCCACAUCAUGGAUUUGCGAGCUGGUUAUCACAAGAUAAGAGUGAAACCGGAGGAUUGCUUUAAGACAGCAUUUCGCACCCACCAAGGCUUAUACGAAUGGCUUGUGAUGCCUUUUGGCUUGACCAAUAUGCUGGCGACUUUCCAAAGUCUCAUCAAUUCGAUUUUUGAGGCUGUCUUAAGAAAGUUUGUCUUGGUUUUUUUAUGAUAUUCUUGUUUAUAGCCCAGAUUGGCAGUCUUACUUCCAGCAUUUAAGAUAUAUGCUGUCCAUUUUAAAAGAAAAUGCCUUGUUUGCUAAACUCUCAAAGUGUUCAUUUAGACAAACGCAUGUUGAUUAUUUGGGCCAUGUGGUUUCUAGAGUAGGGGGGUCGUGUAGAUGACUCGAAGAUACAAGCUAUUUCACAAUGGCCUACUCCCACCUUUCUCAAGCAGUUACGUGCUUUCUUUUGUCAUGCUAGUUACUAUUAUAAAUUUAUCAAACAGUUUACUAUUUUAGCAGCCACUCUAACUGAUCUCCUCAAGAAGGAUAACUUUGUUUGGUCCCCAAGAGCAAUGACAGCAUUCUAAUGAUUGAAGGAAGCCCACUCCAAGGCACCUGUUUUGGUUUUGCCGGAUUUUUCGAAGCCUUUUGUGUUGGAAACAGAUGCGUCAGGCACAGGAAUUGGUGCUAUUUUGAGUCAUGCCGAGUACCCCAUCGCUUAUUUCUCAAAAAAUCUCUCGAGCAUAGCUCAAUCUCAAUUAGUUUAUGCGCAGAAAAUGUAGGCUAUUAUCACCGCAGUUACUAAGUUCCGUCACUACUUGCUUGGUUAUAAGUUUGUGAUCCAGACAUACCAUAAGAGCUUGAAAGAAUUGCAGGCGCAAAUCAUUCAAACACUAAAGUAGCAGGUUUGGCUAGCCAAGCUAUUGGGUUAUAAUUUUACAAUCGAAUAAAAGAAGGGUAGCGACAACUAAGGGGCAGAUGGGCUGUCGUGUUCAUUCAUGCAGCUGACUAGGGUGGAUUAGGCGCUCUUAUCCCUUGCUGCAACAGGAGCUUCAAACAUAUCGUCCUGAAUCAGAUUUUGCAAAGGCUGAAAUGCAUUCAAGGAGGUUAUAAUUCAGACAUGGUUUAUGGUUUUGGAAUGAUAGACUCGUGAUUCCAGCUUCUUCUUCCUUGAUUGAGAACUUGUUGAAAGAAGGCCAUGUUUCCAUUAUUGGGGGACAUGGGGUUGUGCAGAAAAUGCUGUCUCGCUUAGCAACCCAAUUUUAUUGGAAGGACAUGGCUAAAUCAGUUAAAGACUACGUUUGAACUUGUCCCAUUUGUCAGCAGGCCAAGUAUAGCAUGCAACCACCUACUGACUUGUUAGAACCUCUUCCCAUUCCAUUACAGAUUUGGCUGGAUCUUUUGAUGGAUUUUAUCACUGGUUUGCUCGUGGCACAUGGUUGUUUUGUAAUCCUAGUGGUAGUGGACUGUUUGUCCAAAUUUCCACAUUUCAUUCCCCUCCCGAUAGAUUUCACACACCCAAAGUGGCAGAAGUCAUUGUAAGGUAUGUGGUUAGCGUCCAUGACAUGCCUCAAUCAAUUGUUUAAGACCAUGACAAAGUCUUCACAAGCAUAUUUUGGGAACAAUGCUAUAAGCAGCAAAGUAUACUAUUGGCUCGAAGCUUGACAUAUCACCCGAAAUCCGAUGGCCAGAUGGAGGUACUAAAUAAGUGUCUUGAGAUAUAUUUGCGGUGCUAUACUUAGGAAAAUUCUAAGGCAUGGUAUAAGCUUUUUCCAUGGACGGCUUAUAGUUAUAACACAUCCUUCCACUCAGCUAUCGGUAUGAUGCCUUACAAGGAAGUAUUUGGGAAGGAUCCUCUACCCCUACUAUGUUAUGACCCACACCCGAAUGACCCUCCAAUGUUGCAAGAGCAUCUACAGUUAACAGAUGUGGUGUUGACAACCUUAAAACAAAAUUUACACAAGGCACAAGCAAGAAUAAAAGCUCAGGCAGAUAGCAACUGAAGAGAGUUAGAGUUUAAUGUGGGAGAUUUUGUCUAUGUGAAAUUACAGCCUUAUAGGAAGCACUCCAUGGCGCUGAGGAAGUAUCCAAAAUUGUCCAUGCGUUAUUUUGGACCAUUUUCAAUAAUUGCUCUAGUUGGGAAUGUAGCAAACAAGUUAGAACUCCCUAACUCAGCUAGAAUUCACCUGGUCUUCCAUAUCUCUCUACUAAAGAAGUGUGCAGGGGUCUCUACUCCAGCAACCAUUCCAUCUUUGCUGCUGUUAGAUGAGAGAGGGUGCCAACUAUAACUACAUGCGAUUUUGGGACACCGCGUGAUUAAAAGGGAUGGAAAUUGGAUCGAGGAAGUUCUGAUUCAUUGGCAAAAUUCAUUGAUGAGCGGAUAAUUUAUACGCUUUUUGGCAUUGUUUUUACAUAGUUUUCAGUAUGAUUUAGUUAGUUUUCAGUAUAUUUUUAUUAAUUUUUAAAUAAAAUUCACAUUUCUGGACUUUACUAUGAGUUUGUAUAUUUUUCUGUGAUUUCACGUAUUUUCUGGCUGAAAUUGAGGGAGUUGAGCAAAAAUCAGAUUCAGAGGUUGAAGAAGGACUGCAGAUGUUGUUGGAUUCUGAUCUCUCUGCACUCAAAGUAGAUUUUCUGGAGCUACAAAACUCCAAAUGAUGCGCUCUUAAUUGCGUUGGAAAGUAGAUAUCCAGGGCUUUCCAGAAAUAUAUAAUAGUCCAUACUUUGCUCGAGUUUAGAUGACGCAAACUGGCAUUCAGCGCCAGUUCCAUGCUGCAUUCUAGAGUUAAACGCCAGAAAUAGGUUGCAAAGUGGAGUUAAACACCAGAAACAGGUUACAAACUGGCAUUCAACUCCAAGAGAAGCCUCUACACGUGUAAAGCUCAAUGCUCAGCCCAAGCACACACCAAGUGGGCCCCGAAAGUGGAUUUCUGCAUCAUUUACUCAUUUCUGUAAAUCCUAGUAACUAGUUUAGCAUAAAUAGGACUUUUUACUAUUGUAUUUACAUCUUCGGAUCAUUUUUAGUCUUGGUUCUCCUGGUUCCCUCUCUGGGGCCGAGACCAAUGAACUCCAUUAUCACUUAUGUAUUUUCAACGGCAGAGUUUCUACACACCAUAGAUUAAGGUGUGGAGCUCUGCUGUUCCUCAUGAAUUAAUGCAAAGUACGAUUGUUUUUCUAUUCAAUUCAAGCUUAUUCCUUCUCUAAGAUAUCCAUUCGCACCCAAAAACAUGAUGAAUGCGAUGAUUAUGUGACGCUCAUCAUCAUUCUCAAUUAUGAACGCGUGCUUGACAACCACUUCCGUUCUACAUGCAAACAAGCUAGAAUGAGUAUCUCUUAGAUAUCUAAUACAGGGGACCGAGUCCGAGAUAUUAGAAUCUUCGUGGUAUAAGUUAGAACCCAUGGACGGCCAUUCUUGAGAUCCGGAAAGUCUAAACCUUGUCUGUGGUAUUCCGAGUAGGAUCUGGGAAGGGAUGGCUGUGACGAGCUUCAAACUCGCGAGUGCUGGGCGUACUGACAGACGCAAAAGGAUAGUAAAUCCUAUUCCAGUAUGAUCGAGAACCGAAAGAUGAUUAGCCAUGCAGUGACAGCGCAUUGGACUAUUUUUACAGAGAGGAUGGGAUGUAGCCAUUGACAACGGUAAUUCCCUACAUAAAGCUUGCCAUGAAAAGGAGUAUGAAUGAUUGGAUGAAGAUAGCAGGAAAGCAGAGGUUCAGAGGAACAAAAGCAUCUCUAUACGCUUAUCUGAAAUUCUCACCAAUGAAUUACAUAAGUAUCUCUAUCCUAGUUUAAGUUUUAUUUAUCUUUUAAUUAUUAAAACUCUAUAACCAUUUGAAUUCGCCUGACUGAGGUUUAUAAGGUGACCAUAGCUUGCUUCAAGCCGACAAUCUCCGUGGGAUCGACCCUUACUCACGUAAGGUUUAUUACUUGGACGACCCAGUGCACUUGCUGGUUAGUUGUGUGAAGUUGUGACAAAGAAUUAAGAUUAUGAAUGUGCGUAUUGAGUUUUUAGCGCCGUUACCAAGGAAUGGAACCGUCACGAUUUCUGCGCACCAAGUUUUUGGCACCGUUGCCGGGGAUUGUUCGAGUUUGGAAAACUGACGGUUCAUCCUGUUGCUCAGAUUAGGUAAUUUUAUUAUAAUUUUAACCUUUUUGUUUUUAUUAUUCUUAUUUUCGAAAAUUUCAAAAAAAAUUUCUUUUUUUCGUUUUUUCCAAUUAAUUUUCGAAAAAUACAAAAAAAUUUACAAAAUCAUAAAAUCAAAAAUAUUUUUUGUGUUUCUUGCUUGAGUCUAGAGUCAACUUUUAAGUUUGGUGUCAAUUGCAUCUUUUUAAUUUUCUAAAAAUUAUUUUCGAAAAUUUCAUGCAUUGCAUUCUUCAUGAUCUUCAAGUUGUUCUUGGCCAGUCUUCUUAUUUGAUCUUCAUAUUUUCUUGUUUUGUGUCUUUUCUAGUUUUUCAUAUGCAUUUUCAAUUUGUUAGUGUCUAAAGUUUGAAAAUUUCUAUGUUUGGUGUCUUGCAUAUUUUUCUUUUCUUAAAAAUUUUCAAAAAUAAGUCUUGAUGUUCAUCUUGAUCUUCAAAGUGUUCUUAGUAUUCAUCUUGACAUUUAAAGUGUUCUUGCAUGCAUCAUGUGUUUUGAUCUAAAAUUUCCAUGCAUUGUGUCUUUUUUUGUAUUUUUCUCUCUCAUUAUUAAAAAUUCAAAAAUCAAAAAAAUAUCUUUCCCUUUUUCUCCUCAUAAAAUUCGAAUAUUUGAGUUGACUUUUUCAAAAAAUUUUAAAAUUUAGUUGUUUCUUAUGAGUCAAAUCAAACUUUCAAUUUAAAAAUUCUAUCUUUUUUCAAAAAUCAAAUCUUUUUCAUUUUUCUUUUAUGAUUUUCGAAAAUUUCAAAAAUUAUUUUCAAAAUCUUUUUCUUAUUUCUAUUUCACAUUUUCGAAUUAAUUGCUAACAUUUAAUGUUUUAAUUCAAAAAAAAUUUUAAGUUGUUACUUGCCUAUUAAGAAAGGUUCAAUCUUUGAAUUUUAAAAUCAUAUCUUUUAGUUUCUUGUUAAUCAAGUAAUCAACUUUGAUUUCAAAAAUCAAAUAUUUUUAAUUUCCAAUUCAAAUCUCUUUCAAAAUGAUUUUCAAUCAUAUCUUUUUCAAAUUGAUUUUCAAAUCUUUUUCAAUCAAUCUUAUCUUUCUGUUUGAAUCAUAUCUUUUUCAAAACUACUUAACUAAUUCUCUCUCUCUAAUUUUCGAAAAUCCCUUCCCUCUUUUUCAAAAUUCCUUUUAAUUAACUAAUUGUUUUAAUUUUAAUUCAAUUUGAUUUCAAUUUUAAUUUUCGAAAUUUAACUUUAAAUUUUAUUUUUAUUUUAAUUGAUUUUCGAAAUUCCUCCCUCUCUCAUCUCCUUCUGAUUAUUUAUUUAUUUACUAACACUCCUCUUCAUCUAAGAAUUCGAACCCACUCCUCACCCUUGUGUUUGGAUUCUCCUUCUUCUACUCACAUAAAGGAAUCUCUAUACUGUGACAUAGAGGAUUCCAUAUUUUCUUUUCUGUUUUCUUCUUUUUCAUAUGAGCAGGAACAAGGAUAAAAAUAUUCUUGUUGAAGCUGAUCCUGAACCUGAAAGAACUCUGAAGAGGAAGCUAAGGGAAGCUAAAGCACAACUCUCUGGAGAAAAUCUGACAGAAAUUUUCGAAAAAAAAGGAGACAUGGCCGAAAAUAAUAACAAUGCAAGGAAGAUGCUUGGUGACUUUACUGCACCUAAUUCCAAUUUACAUGGAAGAAGCAUCUCAAUCCCUGCCAUUAGAGCAAACAACUUUUCAGUUCUUAACUGAAUUCUUGUAGAUCUGUGAUACUAUUAAGACCAAUGGGGUUGAUCCCGAGGUCUACAGGCUUAUGCUUUUCCCGUUUGCUGUAAGAGACAGAGCUAGAGUAUGGUUGGACUCUCAACCUAAAGAUAGUAUUCUUCUUCUGAAGAGAAUGAAGAUGUUACUGAAGAGCAAGUUGCCAAGUACCUUGGUGCAUAUCAUGAAGCUGAAUGCCAAAUUAUUUGGUAAUGAGACUUGGGAAGAUGAACCUCCCCUGCUCACCAAUGAACUGAGUGAUCUGGAUCAACUGACAUUGCCUCAAAAGAAACAGGAUCCUGAAAAGUUCUUAAUACCUUGUACCAUAGGCACCAUAACCUUUGAGAAGGCUCUAUGUGACAUUGGGUCAGGGAUAAACCUCAUGCCACUCUCUGUAAUGGAGAAACUUGGAAUCUUUAAGGUGCAAGCUGUCAGAAUCUCAUUAGAGAUGGCAGACAACUCAAGAAAACAGGCUUAUGGGCAAGUAGAGGACGUGUUAGUAAAGGUUGAAGACCUUUACAUCCCUACUGAUUUCAUAAUCCUAGACACAGGGAAGGAUGAGGAUGAAUCCAUCAUCCUUGGAAGACCCUUCCUAGCCACAGCAAGAGCUGUGAUUGAUGUGGACAAAGGAGAGUUAGUCCUUCAACUGAAUGAGGACAACCUUGUGUUUCAAACUCAAGGAUCUCCUUCUGUAACCAUGGAGAGGAAGCAUGAAAAGCUUCUCUCACUGUAGAGUCAACAAAAACCCCACAGUCAAACUCUAAGUUUGGUGUUGAACCCCCACAUUCAAACUCUAAGUUUGGUGUUGGGAGGUUCCAACCUUGCUCUGAUUAUCUGUGAGGCUCCAUGAGAGCUCACUGUCAAGCUAUUGACAUUAAAGAAGCGCUUGUUGGGAGGCAACCCAAUGUUAUUUAAGCAUAUCUAUUUUAUUUUCUUUUUGUUAUUUCGUGUUUUAUUAGGUUGAUGAUCAUGUGAAGUCACAAAAACUACUGAAAAAUCAAAAACAGAAUGAAAAAUAGCAUUGAAAAUAGCACACCCUGGAGGAGAGCAGUCUGGCGUUUAAACGCCAGAAACAAGCAUCUGUCUGGCGUUUAACGCCAGAAACAGGCACCAAGCUGGCAUUAAACACCAGAAACAAGCUACAUUUGGGCGUUUAACGCCAGAAACAGGCAGCAGUCUGGCGUUAAACGCCAGGAUUGCACAGCAAGGGCGUUUUACACGCCUAAUUGGAGCAGGGAUGUUAAGUCCUUGACCCCACUUGAUCUUUGGAUCCCACAGGAUCCCCUCAAGAUCUGUGGACCCCACAGGAUCCCUACCUUUUCUUCUCUCCUCUUCACACAUUUUCAUAACUCUCUCCCCCAAAUACCCUUCACCAAUCAACUCAAUCACUCUUCCCCAUCACCUCUUCACCACUCACAUCCAUCCUCUCUUCCCCAAAAACCCCACCUACCUUCAAAUUCAAAAUAUUUUCCCUUCCAAACCCAACCCUAAUGGCCGAAACUUAAACCCCUCCCCACUUCUAUAUAAACCCUCAUUCCUUCUUCAUUUUCACACAACACAACCCUAUCUUCCCCCCUUGGCCGAAAACACUUCUCUCUCCCUUUCCUCCAUUUCUCUUCUUCUUCUCUUUCUUUCAUUCUUCUUUUGCUCGGGGACGAGCAAACAUUUUAAGUUUGGUAUGGUAAAAGUAUUACUUUUUGUUUUUCCAUAACCACUAAUGGCACCUAAGGCCAGAGAAACCUCUAGAAAGAGGAAAGGGAAGGCAAUUGCUUCCACCUAUGAGUCAUGGGAGAUGGAGAGAUUCAUCUCAAAGGUCCAUCAAGACCACUUCUAUGAAGUUGUGGCCAAGAAGAAAGUGAUCCCUGAGGUUCCUUUCAAGCUCAGAAAGAAUGAGUAUCCGGAGAUCCGACAUGAGAUUCAAAUAAGAGGUUGGGAAGUUCUCACCAACCCCAUUCAACAAGUCGGGAUCUUAAUGGUUCAAGAGUUCUAUGCAAACGCAUGGAUCACUAGGAACCAUGAUCAAAGUGUGAACCCGAAUCCAAAGCAUUGGCUUACCAUGGUUCGGGAGAAAUACUUAGAUUUCAGUCCGGAAAAUGUAAGGCUAGCAUUCAACUUGCCAAUGAUAGAAGAGAACGCAUGCCCCUACACUAGAAGAGUCAACUUUGAUCAAAGGUUGGACCAAGUCCUCAUGGACAUAUGUGUGGAAGGAGCUCAAUGGAAAAUUGACUCAAGAGGCAAGCCGGUUCAACUAAGAAUGCAUGACCUCAAACCAGUGGCGAGGGGAUGGUUAGAGUUCAUUCAACGCUCAAUCAUUCCUACUAGUAACCGGUCUGAGGUUACUAUAGACCGAGCCAUCAUGAUCCAUAGUAUCAUGAUUGGAGAGGAGGUGAAAGUUCAUGAGAUUAUACCUCAAGAACUUUACAAGGUGGCUGACAAGUCCUCCACUUGGGCAAGGUUAGCCUUUCCUCACCUCAUAUGCCACCUCUGCAAUUCGGCUGGAAUUGACAUAGAGGGAGACAUCCUCAUUGAAGAGGACAAGCCCAUCACUAAGAAAAGGAUGGAACAAAUAAGAGAUCAUGGACCUCAACAAGAGCAUGAGAAAAUUCCUCAUAAUGAAAUCCCUGAGAUGCCUCAAGGGAUGCACUUUCCUCCACAAAACUAUUGGGAGUAAAUCAACACCUCCCUAGGAGAAUUAAGUUCCAACAUGGGACAACUAAGGGUGGAACAUCAAGAGCACUCCAUCAUCCUUCAUGAGAUUAAAGAAGAUCAAAGAGCUAUGAGGGAGGAGCAACAAAGGCAAGGAAGAGACAUGGAGGAGCUCAAAAGCACCAUUGGUUCUUCAAGAAGAGGAAGACGCCAUCCUCACUAAGGUGGACUCAUUCCUUAAUCUCCUUGUCUAUUUAUUUUACUGUUUUUCGAUUUUUGAGCUUUAUGUUUUAUUUAUGUUUGUGUCUUUACUAUAUGAUCACUAGUGUCUAAGUGUCUAUGCCUUAAAGUUAUGAAUAUGAAUCCAUCACCUCUCUUAAAUGAAAAAAUGUUCUAAAAACAAAAGAACAAGAAGUACAUGGUUUCGAAUUCAUCCUUGAAACUAGUUUAAUUAUUUUGAUGUGGUGACAAUACUUUUUGUUUUUUGAAUGAAUGCUUGAACAGUGCAUAUGUCUUUUGAAAUUGUGGUUUAAGAAUGUUAAAUAUGUUGGCUCUUGAAGAAUGAUGAAAAAGGAGACAUGUUAUUUGAUAAUCUAAAAAAUCAUAAAAUUGAUUCUUGAAGCAAGAAAAAGCAGUGAAUACAAAAAGCUUGCAAAAAAAAGAAAAAAAAAAGAAAAGAAAAAAAUGGCAAAAAAAAAGAGAGAAAGAAAAAAAGAAAAAGCAAGCAGAAAAAGCCAAUAGCCCUUAAAACCAAAAGUCAAGGGUAAUAAAAAAGAUCCAAGGCUUUGAGUAUCAGUGGAUAGGAGGGCCUAAAGGAAUAAAAUCCUGGCCUAAGCGGCUAAACCAAGCUGUCCCUAACCAUGUGCUUGUGGCGUGAAGGUGUCAAGUGGCAACAAUUUAAGUUUGGUGUUGUGAUGAGCGGAUAAUUUAUACGCUUUUUGGCAUUAUUUUUAUAUAGUUUUCAGUAUGAUUUAGUUAGUUUUCAGUAUAUUUUUAUUAGUUUUUAAAUAAAAUUCACAUUUCUGGACUUUACUAUGAGUUUGUAUAUUUUUCUGUGAUUUCAGAUAUUUUUUGGCUGAAAUUGAGGGACUUGAGCAAAAAUCAGAUUCAGAGGUUGAAGAAGGACUGCAGAUGCUGUUGGAUUCUGACCUCUCUACACUCAAAGUGGAUUUUCUAGAGCUACAGAACUCCAAAUGGCGCGCUCUUACUUGCGUUGGAACGUAGACAUCCAAAGCUUUCCAGCAAUAUAUAAUAGUUCAUACUUUGCCCGAGUUUAGAUGACGCAAACUGACGUUCAAUGCCAGUUCCAUGCUGCAUUCUGGAGUUAAACGCCAGAAACAGGUUGCAAAGUGGAGUUAAAUGCCAGAAACAGGUUACAAACUGGCGUUCAACUCCAAGAGAAGUCUCUACACGUGUAAAGCUCAAUGCUCAGCCCAAGCAUACACCAAGUGGGCCCCAGAAGUGGAUUUCUGCAUCAUUUACUCAUUUCUGUAAACCCUAGUAACUAGUUUAGCAUAAAUAGGACUUUUUACUAUUGUAUUUACAUCUUCGGAUCAUUUUUAGUUUGGUUCUCCUGGUUCCCUCUUUGGGGCCGAGACCAAUGAACUCCAUUAUCACUUAUGUAUUUUCAACGGUAGAGUUUCUACACACCAUAGAUUAAGGUGUGGAGCUCUGCUGUUCCUCAUGAAUUAAUGCAAAGUACGAUUGUUUUUCUAUUCAAUUCAAGCUUAUUCCUUCUCUAAGAUAUCCAUUCACACCCAAGAACAUGAUGAAUGUGAUGAUUAUGUAACGCUCAUCAUCAUUCUCAAUUAUGAACGCGUGCCUGACAAACACUUCCGUUCUACAUGCAAACAAGCUAGAAUGAGUAUCUCUUAGAUAUCUAAUAUAGGGGACCGAGUCCGAGAUAUUAAAAUCUUCGUGGUAUAAGUUAGAACCCAUGGACGGCCAUUCUUGAGAUCCAAAAAGUCUAAACCUUGUCUGUGGUAUUCCGAGUAGGAUCUGGGAAGGGAUGGCUGUGACGAGCUUCAAACUCGCGAGUGCUGGGCGUAGUGACAGACGCAAAAGGAUAGUAAAUCCUAUUCCAGUAUGAUCGAGAACUGACAGAUGAUUAGCCAUGCAGUGACAGCGCAUUGGACCAUUUUUACAGAGAGGAUGGGAUGUAGCCAUUGACAACGGUGAUGCCCUACAUAAAGCUUGCGAUGGAAAGGAGUAGGAAUGAUUGGAUGAAGACAGCAGGAAAGCAAAGGUUCAAAGGAACGAAAGCAUCUCUAUACGCUUAUCUGAAAUUCUCACCAAUGAAUUACAUAAGUAUAUCUAUCCUAGUUUAUGUUUUAUUUAUCUUUUAAUUAUUAAAACUCUAUAACCAUUUGAAUCCGCCUGACUGAGGUUUACAAGGUGACCAUAGCUUGCUUCAAGCCGACAAUCUCCGUGGGAUCGACCCUUACUCACGUAAGGUUUAUUACUUGGACGACCUAGUGCACUUGCUGGUUAGUUGUGCGAAGUUGUGACAAAGAAUUAAGAUUAUGAACGUGCGUAUUGAGUUUUUAGCGCCGUUACCAAGGAAUGGAACCGUCAUGAUUUCUGCGCACCAUUCAUCUAGUGAGAAGGCCACUUGGAAACUCUAUGAGGAUGCGAAGAAUUAAUACCCCACUUUUGACCUUGAGGGCAUGGUCACUUUCAAUGGAGGGGGUAAUGAUACAAGCCAAAGAAAGAAUACAAUUGGAAAAGGGGCUCAACAGAAAGAGAAUCCAUAAAAUAAGAGCUCUAACUAACUUGCGCAAAGAAAGAGAAGUAUGAAAUAGCUAAAGGAGGCUUAGGGAAGAUCAUCUUGAUGCUCUGUGAGUCUCAUCUCUUUGACCUUCUUUCUCUCUGACUCUCAAACUUCUUCUUCUUCUAUUCUUGGUCUUAUACUGGUUCACUAUUUCUAAUACAGAUGAUACACUAAUUGUACUUAGCUGGAACCCCAUCAUUUCUUCUUGUUACUCAAUACAAACAAAUACUCUACCAUUGUUCCCUUUUAUUCAUUUGUUAAUUCCGUUAUCUCUGGUUCCAUAUUAGAGACUAAAUCAAAAUUUUAUCCAAAUAUUAAGAACCAAAAUAAUACUUUUACUCUUUUAUUUUUUAAGAUUUUAUUUCGAGUAAAUAAUCAUUUCUAACCAUGAAAGACUUGAACGCCGACAAAAUUGACUGUAAAAAAUUUAAACUAAUGUUAUACCUUUAAAUUGUAGGAUUACAAGUGUUCAUAACACGCAGCGGAAGUAAUAAAGUAAUCCUAUUGAUCUAUUUUGUGCUUAAAACUUUAUUGAAAUAAGAUGGGUUAGAUGCCAAUACCUGAGUACCCUAGUAAAUGAAAACUUUCUCCUUCGAUAGUACAAAGGUACUAUGUGUAUUCACACCGAGACUGAUCCUUGUUGUCAACUCCUUGACCAGUGGAUUUAACUGAGAAAUUUCUUGCAACUCCUUGCACCAGCAAUUCUUCACUAAGAAUUGGAAUAUUUGUGUAUGUGGAGGUAAAAGAAAAACUUGUGUGUUCUUUCUUUUAUCAUAUACACAUAUAUAUAGUAUGAGAUUGGUGACUGAUUUGUGAAUCAGAUUACAAUUUAAUUUGAAACAGAAUCAGUUGGAUCUUAUCCAUAUUUAAAACUCAUCAUAGAAUAAAUAAUUAAUUAUUUAAUAUUCUCAAUUAUCAUAUUAUUAUAUUCAUGGUGCUAGCAAAGAAUAUAAUAAUAUUCCAUUUGAAUUCAUAUAAUUAUUUAUUUGAUCUAAUCAAAAUAAUAAUUAAAUGAUUAUUUACCAAGGAUUAGAACACUCGUUAGUGUAUGACCCCAUAGGUUCAAUACUAAGCGGGUAGUAAAUUAGUCAUACUAAAUUUACUAAUCAAGGUUGGCGUCUAGCAACGCUCCUUGACGAUCCGAUAGUAUGAAGUAAUAAUAUUUUUACUAAGAACCCAAGAUGAACAAAAAAUACAACUCCUUCCAUCUUUUCAGCUCUUGGCUAACUUUUAGAGUACGGUUUAAUUGUCAAACUCUAACUUGUUACCAUUAUUAUAAUGAAUUAUGAAUGACUUAAGAAGUUCGAUCCAUGAUGGGUUUUACUGAUCUUCUAUUGAAUUUAUGGGGCUAUGCUUUAGAAACAGCAGCAUAUCUGCUAAAUAAAGUACCCAUUAAAGCAGUUUCUUCAACACCAUAUGAGAUAUGGAAAGGACGAAAAUCAAAUCUCAAGCACAUUAGAGUUUGGGGAUGUCCAGCAUAUGUUAAGAAAUUGUAAAGUAAUAAACUUGAUGCUAGGUCCGAUAAAUGUAGAUUCAUUGGUUACCCUAAAGAAAUAAUGGGUUAUUAUUUCUAUCACCCUUCUGAUCACAAAGUGUUUGUGGCAAGAGGUGGAACCUUUUUAGAAAAGAAAUUUCUUUCUGAAGGAAGACAAGGUGAAGAAAUAGAACUUGAUGAAGUUCAAGAAACCAAUGAAAUAGUACAAGCUCAAGAACAUGAAAUUCAAGUUGAGCAACCAACUUUGGAUGUACUCAAACUAAUACCAAAUUUAUCAUCUUCAAGAGUUGAGGAUAACGAACCAAUAGUAGUUCAAAGAGAGAUUAAUGAACCAAUCCUUGAACUACCUUUGGUACAAGAACUACCUCUUCGAUGGUCCACAAGAGAACAUCGUCCACCACUAAGGCUAAACCUAAUAGUGCAAGAUGAUGUGGAAAAUGGGAUCGAUUAUGAUGAUAAUGAUCCUAAGACUUAUGAAGAGGCAAUGCAAAGUUCCGAAAGUCUAAAAUGGCAGAGUGCCGUGGAAUCCGAAAUAGAGUCUAUGAGGAUCAACAAUGUUUGGACUUUGGUUGAACCCUCAAAAGACAUAAAAUCUAUUGGUUGCAAAUGGGUUUACAAGAAAAAGAUUGGAGCAGAUGGUAAGGUAGAGACCUAUAAAGCCCGUCUAGUUGCCAAGGGAUACCGUCAAAAGGAGGGAAUAGAUUAUGAAGAAACAUUUUCUCCUGUGGCAAUGCUCAAAUCUAUUCGGAUUCUACUUGCUAUAACAGCUUACUAUCAUUAUGAAAUAUGGCAAAUGGAUGUGAAAACAACUUUUCUUAAUGGAGAACUCACAGAGGAAGUGUACAUGACACAACCUGAAGGUUUCACACUUCAGUCUGAUCAUAGUAAAGUUUGUAAGCUAAAACGCGCCAUUUAUGGACUAAAGCAAGCUUCUAGAAGUUGGAACAUUUGCUUUAAUAAGACAAUCGAAAAGUUCGAUUUUAUCUGGUGUGAAGAGGAUCCUUGCAUAUACAAAAAGUUUAGUGGGAGUACAGUCAUUUUCUUAGUACUCUAUGUUGAUGACGUAUUACUAAUAGGAAAUGAUGUACCAGCAUUGUAAAAUACCAAAACUUGGCUAUCUCAACAAUUCUCCAUGAAAGAUUUGGGAGAAGCAGCCUAUAUUCUAGGAAUAAAGAUCUAUCGAGAUAGAUCUAAAAGGUUGCUCGGACUCUCACAAUCUAUGUACAUUGAUACCAUAUUGAAAAGGUAUAACAUGGAAAACUCCAAAAAGGGCUAUUUACCAAUAGGCACUGGAAUUACUCUCAGUAGAAAGGAUUUUCCUAAAAUUUCUGAAGAGAGAGUACGCAUGAGUAGAAUACCAUAUGCUAGUGCAGUGGGAGCUAUCAUGUAUACCAUGACAUGUACACGUCCUGAUGUCGCAUAUGCGCUAGGAGUAGCCAGUCGAUAUCAGGCAAAUCCAGGUGAGGAACAUUGGAAGGUGGUUAAAUCCAUUCUAAAAUAUUUAAGAAGAACCAAAGACUAAUUCCUCAUUUAUGGAGAUUCUGAACUUAUACCAAAAGGGUUCACUGACGCAAGUUUUGCCUCAGACAAAGAUGAUAGCAAAUCUACUUCAGGUUAUGUUUUCACCUUAAACGGUGGUGCAGUGAGUUGGAAAAGUUCCAAACAAGCUACUGUAGCUGAUUCAACAACAGAAGCUGAGUACAUAGCAGCAAGUGAGGCUGCUAAACAAGCUGUGUGGAUGAAGAAGUUCAUAAACGAGCUUGAUGUGGUGCCUUCAAUUAAAGAACCACUUCCAUUACUGUGCGACAAUAAUGGAGCCAUUGCACAAGCAAAAGAGCCAAGAUCACAUCAAAAAUCUAAGCAUAUCUUGAGAAUGUAUCAUUUGAUAAGAGAGAUCGUUGAACGUGGAGACGUUGAAAUUCAAAAGGUUGCUGGGAAGGAUAAUGCAGAAAACCCAUUCACUAAGGCACUUGGAUCAAAAGAGUUUGAUAAGCACAUGUGGGAAUUGGGAUUGAAAUAUAUGACUGAUUGGCUCUAGUGCAAGUGGGAAAUUUUGUUGGAAAUACAUGUAUUCCCUAGAUCCAAUCUGUCAUUAGCUCUAGUGCAAGUGGGAGAUUGUUGGAGAUAAGUGUGUAUGUCCAACAAAAUACUAUUGUGAAUUAUUAUUAUUAUUAUUAUUAUUUCUUUUUAUAAGAAUAAACUUUUAUAAUUUAUGAUAGUGUCCUUAAUUAAAAUUAGAAACGAAUAAUUACGAUAGGGAUCGUAAUAAUGAGAUAUACGUUCAACUAUGGUAUGAGUUUGAGCUCUACGAUUAUAAUGAAUGAAAUAAACAAUGCCUUAGCCAAGGGGUUUGAAUGAAUUAAAAAAUGAGUUUCUUAAGUCAUUCAUAAUUCAUUAUAAUAAUGGUAACAAGUUAGAAUUUGACAAUUAAACCGUACUCUAAGGUAACGUUUGGUGGAGAGACAGAGACAGAAAGACUGAGACUGAGAGACAGAGACUAAGAGACAGGGAUUGAAAUAAAUUUCAGUAUUCUGUUUGGUGCAAAAUGGGAGACAGAAAUUGAAACAAGAAUAAAACUCUAAUUUAAUUUGCACAAAAGGUAAAAUUGGAAUUAUUUAAUUGAAAUGAAAGUAUUUUAGGUAUAAAAUAUUAUUAAAGUUUCAGUCUCCAUCUCUAAAAAUUUCAGUCCCCUGUGUGCCUACUUUUUGGAGGUACUGAAAUACUGAAAUUUUAGAGACAGAAACAGAAAUUUUAGUACCAGUCUCUGAACUAACAAACACGAUACUGAAUCUCAAUCUCUCAGUCUCUGUCUCAAUACCUCAAAACAAACGCUACCUAAAAGUUAGCCAAGAGCUGAAAAGAUGGAAGGAGUUGUAUUUUUUGUUCAUCUUGGGUUCUUAGUAAAAAUAUUAUUACUUCAUACUAUCGGGUCGUCAAGGAGCGUUGCUAGACACCAACCUUGAUUAGUAAAUUUAGUAUGACUAAUUUACUACCCGCUUAGUAUUGAACCUAUGGGGUCACACACUAACGAGUGUUCUAAUCCUUGGUAAAUAAUCAUUUAAUUAUUAUUUUGAUUAGAUCAAAUAAAUAAUUAUAUUAAUUCAAAUGGAAUAUUAUUAUAUUCUUUGCUAGCACCAUGAAUAUAAUAAUAUGAUAAUUGAGAAUAUUAAAUAAUUAAUUAUUUAUUCUAUGAUGAGUUUUAAAUAUGGAUAAGAUCCAACUGAUUCUGUUUCAAAUUAAAUUGUAAUCUGAUUCACAAAUCAGUCACCAAUCUCAUACUAUAUAUAUGUGUAUAUGAUAAAAGAAAGAACACACAAGUUUUUCUUUUACCUCCACAUACACAAAUAUUCCAAUUCUUAGUGAAGAAUUGCUGGUGCAAGGAGUUGCAAGAAAUUUCUCAGUUAAAUCCAUUGGUCAAGGAGUUGACAACAAGGAUCAGUCUCGGUGUGGAUACACAUAGUACCUUCGUACUAUCGAAGGAGAAAGUUUUCAUUCACUAGGGUACUCAGGUAUUGGCAUCUAAUCCAUCUUAUUUCAAUAAAGUUUUAAGCACAAAAUAGAUCAAUAGGAUUACUUUAUUACUUCCGUUGCGUGUUAUGAACACUUGUAAUUCUACAUAAAUAAUAAAUUAUGUUUGACAAUAAUAUUCAAUAAUUAAAUUUUUAUUAUUUUUUUUAAAAAAUACAUCAAAUUUCUAAAUUACCUUUCCUUUAUCAUCAUCUUCAACCUCAAAAUACUAUUUCUUUCUCUCUGGCAAAAUCUAAAAAAUAAGAACUCAUCUUUAUACCCAUUCCCAUUAACUAAGAACUAUUAUUCCUUAUACUAUUCUUAGUCGUCUAAAUCUAACCUUAAUUUUAAAUUGUCAAAAUAAAUACAACACAUAAAUUAAUUAAUAAAUUGUUUAUUCAAGUACUUUGAAUUGGCAAACAUGAAUGCUAAUCGUGAUUACAAGAGAAGCCUGGACCGAAAAAGAGAAAGUGAUGAAGUGUUGAUAACUAACUAUUAAUUAAUUAAUUACUUGGAACAAUGUUGGUGAUGAUGAACUCCUCCAAAUACAUCUUUCUAUCAUAUUAAGAGUGAUGGCAUCAAAAUGCUUGAUAACUAUCUCUUAAAAAUCUUCUUUAAUUUUGUGCACACAGGUGCUGGUGAAGUCUUAUAGCAAAAUCCUUACUAACACUGCUAAAUGAAACCUUGUGGCUUUUGUCAAUCUUAACGAGUCAAAAAUUUUGAUAUGUUCGAAUAUUGGUAAGUGUACUAAAUCAUUCUAAGUACGGUUAAAAGGGAGUCGAAUUAGACCAAGUUCAAGCUCGAUUCACAAAAAUUGAGUUUGGCUCACGGCUCAACUCAUUAACAAUCGAGUCUAUUUCGUAAGCUCAAACUCGACUCAUCGAAAGAUCCUGAGCUAGCUUGAGCUCACAAGUUGGCUUAACUAAUAGAAACAUAAUCUAUAAUUCUAUAUCAAUAAAUUAUAACUUUUAUAUUUUAAAAAAUAUUUAAAAAGAUCAAUUUUAUAUAUUUUCUAUCUUGAGUCCGUUCAUGAGCUAAUGAGCUAAGCUUAUCUAAAUUCAAACUUGGCUCAUUUAAUUUAUGAGCUCAAUUCCAGGCUCAAGCUCGGCCCGCCAGCUCACAAGUUCAGUUUAUCGAGCUAUUAACGAGUCGAGCUCGAGCUGGUUCAUGAUCUGACUUGACUCACUUCCAACCUUAGCUUUAAGUAAUACCACAGUGAGUAGAUAUCGUUCCUACGCGAAUUAAAAGAUUGAAUCAAGUAACUUUUAGUUGAACCCCUAAUUAGAUCGAUCAAACCUUUGCAAGAGAAUGUGAAUCUUGAAAUAGAAUCUUGAAGUAAUGAAGAAGAGUGAAGGAGAGUGUUUGAUUGUGAAUGAGAAAAUGUUUAUGAAUUUGGGAAAGCAAUCAGUGAAUGAGAUGUUAAAGGCUUCGGAGAUGUUUAACGUUUAGAAAAAAAUAGUGCUUAUGUUUUCUUACUUUGACUCAUGCAAAAAUACUUUCACGGUAAAUCAUAUAUAACUAAAUUCUAAUUCCUUGACAAUUGAAUUUCUCUUUAACUUAUUCAAUCACCAAUUUUUUGGUCAAUUAAUUAAGAAAAGAGGUUAAGCACGAUUUUGAUUUAAUGCUGUACAACUUUCAAAAUACUAUUCCUAGCCAAGUUGAAAAGUAUGAGAAAGAGUUUUAAGCUAAUCCCGAUAUUAAAUUUUCCAAAAUAAUAACAGAAUCCAAAACAGAAUUACAAUAUUUUUCAAUACUUCUAACCAUUAAAGAUGAAGAAUGAGACUCAAUCUUGAAAAAUAUUAAUGCAUUAAUCAAAAGAAAACGCUUACAUUACCAAUCCAUAAAAUCAAACAGAGCUCCUAACCCUUAGCAAGAGAGUUUUAGUUACUCAUGAAAAAGAAAACAACCUAAAACUAAUGAGAUGCUAGAUGAAUCCAAUUAUGAUUCGAUGAUGGACGAUAGAUGAUCCUUGUGAACCAUGCGUUCACUUAUUUAUAUUCUACUUCUAACCUAGAAUUCAAAUUUAAAAACUAAAUCUAAUCUUAUCUUUUAAAGGAUAAGAUAGAUAAAAACAACAAUUCAAAUCUAAUCUAAAACUAAAUCUUAACAACCAAAUCUUAUCUUUCUAGAAGAAGUUAAUGGUAACUAAUCAUUCAAAUCUUGAAUCUUUUGAGUUGAGUUGGAGCUUCUUGGGAAAAGACAUUGGACGUGGCGCUGGGCUUGGAUGAUUGGCGCCUAACUUGAAUGCAAUUUUGGGCCACUGGGAGUGAAAAAUCACUUGAAGAUGGGUUCUAAAAGUUGGCGCUGAGCUCCCAUGUUGUGGCUCUCAUUAGGUGUCGAGCUUGAGUCAUGGAAGUAGGGUGUUAGCCCUUGAGCACCAUCAAAGGGGCUAGGCUUAGAGGCUAGGUUGCUGAGCUUGGUGUCCUGGAGCUGGGCGCCAGUUCUUGGCGUUGGACUUAGAUGCUCCAAGUUGGGCUUGGGCACCAUACUUGGGCGAUGGGCUUGAUUGGAUGGUGUUGAGCUUGAGAUCAUUGAAGCCUGGCGCCAGCUUCUCUUCCUCUCCUAGGAGUGUACACUUGUAUUUUUUUGUUUGUUUAUUUUUCUCCUGAUUACUUUAAACUAAUCCUAAAAACACAGUCAUUCUAAAACAACUCCAAACAUAUGAUUAGUCAUAGAAACUUCAAUAAAAACGUAAGAACUUUGAUUUAAACCUAAGAAAUUUAUUCAAAAAUACAUAUAAAAAUCACUAAAGAUACCUAGGCAUUACAAUACCGAACUUAAAACUUUGUUUGUCUUCAAGCAAAAAGAAGAGUAAACAGAGUUUAUCUUAGUGACAAGAAUUGAUGAGUUUGUAAAUUUAAGUCCAAUAAAAGUGGGUUUUAUAAUAAUCCACAUGAUUACAUAUGUACUUCUCUUGAUAAAUCUUGCAAGCUCAAGGAUUAAGAAUAUUUAAAACUCAAUUCCGAAUUAUAUUAUGAGAAUCCUUUUAGAAUUGUAUGACCUUGGAAGCAGUUACUUAAUAAUUUAAUCAGAAAAAGAUAUUCGAAGUCUUUGACUCUAAGUGCUUUAUCUCAGAACAACUCUUAAUAUAGGUUUUCAAUCGAUAAUCUCGAGCCAGUUGGCUCAAGUUAUCGGGUGAUGACACAUCCCUCGAAUUUACUCACCCAAGUCUCUCCUUAAUACACAAGCAUCACAGGCACAUAACUGGGUUCUAGUCAUUGGUGCUUAGAGCUUUAUUGCUUUUGGUUUUUCAAUCUUUCCACACUUUUUUUUAAAUCACUGCUUCAAAAGGGCUGGACGUUGAAUACUUAUAAUAUUUCUCUAGAAUUUUAUUUUUGGAAUUUUUUUCUCUUUUUUUCAUAAAAUUCCCUUGGGUUCAUUAAAUGUAACCACACUUCUAAGAACCACCACUUUUAUUUUGAACUUUCUUUUUAUUUUUCAAUUCUUUUCAUUCAGAACGCUCUCUUUACAUAAGCAAAGUACUGGAGGAGCAAGUACACAACUUUUAAGCAAAAUAAAGUAAAUAAAGAAACAAAAAAACAUGAUGAAAAAAGAAAGAAAGAAAGAAAAGAACAAAAACGAAAAAAAAAAAAAGAAAAAGAAAAAGAAAGAAAGCAACUAACCACCAGAAAAGAAAAAUAAGAUUACCAAAUUCACUCUUCAUCAUCAUUAUCACCGUCGACGUCCACAUGUUAUAUUGGUCUUCAUGGAGUUUGGAUCGAAACCUGUUUGCGUCAUAUGACGGAGUGGCCGGUUCCCUUUUUUUCUCUUUUUAAACAAAGACAUCUUGAGUUUUUGAUAUAUAACACACACCGUAUGCAAAGUACAAUCACAACACCAAACUUAAAGUUUGGACGUAUGAGUAAGAAAAGGAAAUAUGAAGUUAGAUGAAAUAAGAGGAAGUGGAACGUGUAUAUAAUAUGUGAUACAAGUGAAGUGUGCAUGUGCUAUUAUAGUGAAGUGAGGUGGGAAUUAUGUGGUUGUGAAUGCAUGAUGGUGUAUGUGGUGUGCAUGUGUGCAGUGGAAAUGAGUGAAAAAUAAAAGCUAAAUGCCAAAGUUAAAAAUCAUGAAAGUUGAAAUCAUGAUGCAUAGAGGUAACAUAUAAAUUUGCAUGCUUUCAUGCAUGUGAAGUAUGACAAGUGCAGAACUUGGAAAGAGUAAUAUGCAUGCUAGGUGUGUGGUUGAAUUGAUGUGUCGAGCAUGCCUAAUAUUGAAUUUUUAAAAGAUAAGUAAUUCAUCGGAGUAGUUAAAAAAAGCAAAAGGUAAAAAUGCAUGCAAUUAUUUUGAAUAACUUUUUACUAAGUUAAAAAUCAAGAACAGAAACAAAAA
rnacentral:lncRNA from 1 species